rnacentral:rRNA from 1 species
UGGUGCCAGCAGCCGCGGUAAUUCCAGCUCCAAUAGCGUAUAUUAAAGUUGUUGCAGUUAAAAAGCUCGUAGUUGAAUUUCGGGAUCAGUAGGUCGGUCAUGCCUAUGGUAUGUACUGGCUUUACUGGUUCCUCCUUCUUGAUGAUCUGUAAUGUCAUUAAUUUGGUGUUGCAGGGAGUCAGGACUGUUACUUUGAAAAAAUUAGAGUGUUUAAAGCAGGCAUACGCUUGAAUACAUUAGCAUGGAAUAAUGAAAUAGGACGUUCGAUCCUAUUUUGUUGGUUUCUAGGAUUGACGUAAUGAUUAAUAGGGAUAGUUGGGGGCAUUAGUAUUCAAUUGUCAGAGGUGAAAUUCUUGGAUUUAUUGAAGACUAACUACUGCGAAAGCAUUUGCCAAGGAUGUUUUCAUUAAUCAAGAACGAAAGUUAGGGGAUCGAAGACGAUCAGAUACCGUCGUAGUCUUAAUCAUAAACUAUGCCGACUAGGGA